GUCGGAGAGGCUACUGAUAGAGUGACUUUCAAAUUGACUUUUCAUACUGUGAGCGGCCACACAAUCAAGCACUUGUCUGCUUUCAUUCAUGGUUCCGGUCUUAUCGACAGUCAUGCUUGCAAAGAGGAACGUUGAUGUCAAGAGCCAAAAGUCUGCGUAAAACAUGGAGGACUUUACGUCCUUAUAACAAGGCCCACGAAGAAAACUCAUGGUGAGAGCUAUAACAGGGAGGCCCCCGAAGAAAGGCCGCUACUAUAUCACAGAACAGUUGUAUAAAGUAACAUGUACUGUAGUUAGUUCCUGAUCUGUACAGUUGUUUUUCUUAAUCUUGCAGCAAUUAUAUACGGACCUGUUUGCGCAUGUUUGCGGCUUACUCUGUUGUAGAGUGAUAGAACUCAGAACAAUGCUUGAGUCCAAGUUAUAAAUAUAUGCAAAAGUAGCUCCUUUCUUCCUUU